rnacentral:rRNA from 1 species
AGGUGUUGUUGGGUAGGGGAGCGUUCUGUAAGCCUGCGAAGGUGGCCUGUGAGGGUUGCUGGAGGUAUCAGAAGUGCGAAUGCUGACAUAAGUAACGAUAAAGCGGGUGAAAAGCCCGCUCGCCGGAAGACCAAGGGUUCCUGUCCAACGUUAAUCGGGGCAGGGUGAGUCGACCCCUAAGGCGAGGCCGAAAGGCGUAGUCGAUGGGAAACGGGUUAAUAUUCCCGUACUUGGUGUUACUGCGAAGGGGGGACGGAGAAGGCUAUGUUGGCCGGGCGACGGUUGUCCCGGUUUAAGCGUGUAGGUGUGUGUUCCAGGUAAAUCCGGUUCACUUUAACACUGAGGCGUGAUGACGAGGCACUACGGUGCUGAAGCAACAAAUGCCCUGCUUCCAGGAAAAGCCUCUAAGCAUCAGGUAACAUCAAAUCGUACCCCAAACCGACACAGGUGGUCAGGUAGAGAAUACCAAGGCGCUUGAGAGAACUCGGGUGAAGGAACUAGGCAAAAUGGUGCCGUAACUUCGGGAGAAGGCACGCUGACACGUAGGUGAAGUGAUUUACUCAUGGAGCUGAAGUCAGUCGAAGAUACCAGCUGGCUGCAACUGUUUAUUAAAAACACAGCACUGUGCAAACACGAAAGUGGACGUAUACGGUGUGACGCCUGCCCGGUGCCGGAAGGUUAAUUGAUGGGGUCAGCGCAAGCGAAGCUCCUGAUCGAAGCCCCGGUAAACGGCGGCCGUAACUAUAACGGUCCUAAGGUAGCGAAAUUCCUUGUCGGGUAAGUUCCGACCUGCACGAAUGGCGUAAUGAUGGCCAGGCUGUCUCCACCCGAGACUCAGUGAAAUUGAACUCGCUGUGAAGAUGCAGUGUACCCGCGGCAAGACGGAAAGACCCCGUGAACCUUUACUAUAGCUUGACACUGAACAUUGAGCCUUGAUGUGUAGGAUAGGUGGGAGGCUUUGAAGCGUGGACGCCAGUCUGCGUGGAGCCGACCUUGAAAUACCACCCUUUAAUGUUU